AGCCUGAACGCUGGCGGCGUGGCUAAGACAUGCAAGUCGCACGGGCAUCCGCAAGGGUGUCAGUGGCGAACGGGUGAGUAAAGAAUCGCUAACGUACCCCGGACUCUAGGAUAGCUACCCGAAAAGGGUGGGUAAUACCAGAUGACAUAUUUCCCCUGCAUGGGGGAAAUCUCAAAGGUCCGCCGGUCUGGGAGCGGGCGAUUUCGUAUCAGCUAGUUGGUGAGGUAACGGCUCACCAAGGCGACGACGCGUAGCCGGACUGAGAGGUUGGCCGGCCACAUUGGGACUGAGACACUGCCCAGACUCCUACGGGGGCUGCAGUAACGAAUCUUCCGCAAUGCACGCAAGUGUGACGGAGCGACGCCGCGUGUGGGACGAAGCCCUUCGGGGUGUAAACCACUGUCAGGGGACAGAAAGUUCUGAUCGUCCCAGAGGAAGGCACGGCUAACUCUGUGCCAGCAGCCGC
rnacentral:rRNA from 1 species